AAGCAAAUCCUGCCNGNGACAAUAGUUCAACGGCCGCGGUAUCCUAACCGUGCAAAGGUAGCAUAAUCAUUUGCCUAUUAAUUGUAGGCUAGAAUGAACGGAUAAACGAAAUAAAAACUGUCUCGAUCAGCGACCUAAAAAUUAAUUUCUGCAUGAAGAAUUGCAGAUACCCUCGAAGGACAAGAAGACCCUAUAGAGCUUUAUUUUAUAUACAGAUAAAUACUGUAAAAAAAAUUCGGUUGGGGCGACCAAGGACAUUACUAAACACCCUUAAAAUAAAAGAUUUAUUAAUCAAAAAAAUGACCCUUUUAAGAUCAAAAAAUCAAGCUACCUUAGGGAUAACAGGCUAAUCCUACUUAANAGUUCAUAUCUACAGUAGGGCUUGGCACCUCGAUGUUGGCUUAGGAAAUCAAUAUAGCGCAAAAGUUAUAUAAAGAUGGUUUGUUCAACCAAUAAUUUCCUACGUGAUCUGAGUCCAGACCGGA
rnacentral:rRNA from 1 species